CCCUUAGAUGUCCGGGGCCGCACGCGCGCUACACUGAAGGAAUCAGCGUGGCUUUCUCCCUGACCCGAAAGGGUUGGGAAACCCGUUGAAUCUCCUUCGUGAUAGGGAUUGGGGCUUGAAAUUGUUCCCCAUGAACGAGGAAUUCCCAGUAAGCGCGAGUCAUAAGCUCGCGUUGAUUACGUCCCUGCCCUUUGUACACACCACCCGUCGCUACUACCGAUUGAACGGUUUAGUGAGGGCCUCGGACUGGUCUCGGCCCGCUCUUUACCGGGCGGCGCCGUUGGUCGAGAAGACGCUCGAACUUGAUCGUUUAGAGGAAGUAAAAGUCGUAACA
rnacentral:rRNA from 1 species